ACAAGGUUUCCGUAGGUGAACCUGCGGAAGGAUCAUUACUGAGUGAGGGCCCUCUGGGUCCAACCUCCCACCCGUGUUUAUUGUACCUUGUUGCUUCGGUGCGCCCGCCUCACGGCCGCCGGGGGGCUUCUGCCCCCGGGUCCGCGCGCACCGGAGACACUAUUGAACUCUGUCUGAAGAUUGCAGUCUGAGCAUAAACUAAAUAAGUUAAAACUUUCAACAACGGAUCUCUUGGUUCCGGCAUCGAUGAAGAACGCAGCGAAAUGCGAUAACUAAUGUGAAUUGCAGAAUUCAGUGAAUCAUCGAGUCUUUGAACGCACAUUGCGCCCCCUGGUAUUCCGGGGGGCAUGCCUGUCCGAGCGUCAUUGCUGCCCUCAAGCACGGCUUGUGUGUUGGGCUCCGUCCCCCCGGGGACGGGUCCGAAAGGCAGCGGCGGCACCGAGUCCGGUCCUCGAGCGUAUGGGGCUUUGUCACCCGCUCUGUAGGCCCGGCCGGCGCCAGCCGACAACCAAUCAUCCUUUUUUCAGGUGAC
rnacentral:misc_RNA from 1 species